rnacentral:lncRNA from 8 species
UCUCCCUCACCCUCUCCCUCUUCAUCUCUCCCUCACCCUCCCUCUGCCUCUUCCCCAUCCUCCCCCUCUCUCACCUUCAAAGUUCACCAAACCGUCCCCUUUUCUCAUUGAAAGCAUCCCUGAGCUCCUUCACUCCUAUCAUGUCUGCUUUAUCUGCCAACAUCUUAGGACCCAUCAGCUCCAGAAAGUCCACUCUGCUGCCACCUAGAGGAGGCUGAAAGGGAUUAGUAGAGAUGGGUGAAGGAGAUUUAGUUAACCAUUAACAGAUAACAUUUAUGGUGGUACAAAGUGUCACAAACCAAACCUGUUUUGAAGGAACACAUUUCAUACUCUACAGUUUCUAGAGCUCUGUUUACAGUCAAUAUUAGCAGAGAACUCACAAGUAAAGCUCAACUAGUCGGUUAAGAGGAAGGGGCACCGGGUGGGCUUCUCCCAGAUUGAUAUGGGACUAGACCAGUCCUCUUCAGGAUUGUGAGUCCUCUCUGAGAGUUCUAAUGAGUUAUCAGAUUGAUAUGGGACUAGACUAGUCCUCUUCAGGAUUGUGAGACCUCCUCUCUGAGUUUUAUAAUGAGUUAUCAGCAGGGGGCUGAGGGUGGUGCCAUCACUAAAGAAAGACAGAAAGAUGGGUCACCAAACAAGGAUCUUGAUGAGACCAUGGACCCUGAUAUGAGGAACAAUUUGAAGCAUCUACAGCUAUGUACAGCUAGUCAUAUGUCUAUGAGUGACCACAUUGACCAGUCAGUGAAUUUGAGCAUAGACCCAAGUGAUGAUGGAGACCAAACCAAGGAUGAAAGGUAAACCAGCAACACAUGCAAUAUUACAUGGAGUUGUAUGACAUACACUACAUGACCAAAAGUAUGUGGACACCUGCUCGUCGAACAUCUCAUUCCAAAAUCAUGGGCCUUACUAUGGAGUUGGUCCCCCCUUUGCUUCUAUAACAGCCUCCACUUUUCUGGGAAGGCUAUCCACUAGACGUUGGAACA